GGUGCUAUACAUGCAAGUCGAACGCACUCUCGUUUAGAUUGAAGGAGCUUGCUCCUGAUUGAUAAACAUUUGAGUGAGUGGCGGACGGGUGAGUAACACGUGGGUAACCUGCCCUAAAGUGGGGGAUAACAUUUGGAAACAGAUGCUAAUACCGCAUAAAACCUAACACCGCAUGGUGUAGGGUUGAAAGAUGGUUUCGGCUAUCACUUUAGGAUGGACCCGCGGUGCAUUAGUUAGUUGGUGAGGUAAAGGCUCACCAAGACCGUGAUGCAUAGCCGACCUGAGAGGGUAAUCGGCCACACUGGGACUGAGACACGGCCCAGACUCCUACGGGAGGCAGCAGUAGGGAAUCUUCCACAAUGGACGAAAGUCUGAUGGAGCAACGCCGCGUGAGUGAAGAAGGUUUUCGGAUCGUAAAACUCUGUUGUUGGAGAAGAAUGUAUCUGAUAGUAACUGAUCAGGUAGUGACGGUAUCCAACCAGAAAGCCACGGCUAACUACGUGCCAGCAGCCGCGGUAAUACGUAGGUGGCAAGCGUUGUCCGGAUUUAUUGGGCGUAAAGCGAGCGCAGGCGGUUUCUUAAGUCUGAUGUGAAAGCCUUCGGCUCAACCGAAGAAGUGCAUCGGAAACUGGGAAACUUGAGUGCAGAAGAGGACAGUGGAACUCCAUGUGUAGCGGUGAAAUGCGUAGAUAUAUGGAAGAACACCAGUGGCGAAGGCGGCUGUCUGGUCUGUAACUGACGCUGAGGCUCGAAAGCAUGGGUAGCAAACAGGAUUAGAUACCCUGGUAGUCCAUGCCGUAAACGAUGAGUGCUAGGUGUUGGAGGGUUUCCGCCCUUCAGUGCCGCAGCUAACGCAUUAAGCACUCCGCCUGGGGAGUACGACCGCAAGGUUGAAACUCAAAGGAAUUGACGGGGGCCCGCACAAGCGGUGGAGCAUGUGGUUUAAUUCGAAGCAACGCGAAGAACCUUACCAGGUCUUGACAUCCUUUGACCCCUCUAGAGAUAGAGCUUUCCCUUCGGGGACAAAGUGACAGGUGGUGCAGGGUUGUCGUCAGCUCGGGCCGGGAGAUGUUGGGUUAAGUCCCGCAACGAGCGCAACCCUUAUUACUAGUUGCCAGCAUUAGUUGGGC
rnacentral:rRNA from 1 species